CUCAUUGCAGUGCAUUCUGGGAUUGCUUUACUCAUGAAGGACACCAGAUUCUGGCCAAAACAAGUGUCUCUAGAUUUGUGAGUUUGACAGAUGGGGCAGUGGGAAAAUCCGCUUAGCAACUUUCUGCUGAUGGAGGUUCAUUGAGUAAAGCUCCACACUUUCUCAUUAAAUCACCGCAGUGAGGCCUCGCGUACUUCUGUUCAACUUUAACGGAUACAGUUUCAAGAUAAAGGACAUGUCUGCUGAAAAGAAUAUUGCAGAAGCCCAAAAAGAAGAAGCCCGAGUCGACUCCAGCAGAGACCAACGGGAUCGAAGCCAAAUCCAAAAAGACCAAGAGCAAGAAGAGCGACGAUCUGUUGGCCGAGAGCGACCCGGUCACUCAGAGUACGGCAGAGACCUCAUGUCCUGAUGUUACAUCACAGCGCUUCUGUCAGUCUGUUUACACAACUCUCACAAACCUCCCUCACAGAUGGAGAGAAGGUGAAGAAGAAGAAACUGGAGAAGGACAAAGAAUCAACAGAAAAGGAGAAGGAAAUCAAAAAGAAAGCGAAAAGCGCUCCAAAGAAGAAGAAGAGUAAGUGACCCAGUGUUUUUUUAGAGUCAUUUGAUUUGUGACCCUAAAGCACAAAAGCAGUCUUAAGUCUUUGGGGUAUAUUUGUAGCAAUAGCCAAAAAUACAUUGUAUGGGUCAAAAUUGUAGAUUUUUCUUUCAUGCCAAAAAUCAUUAGGACAUUAAGUAAAGAUCAUGUUCAAUGAAGAUAUUUUGUAAAUUUCCUACCGUAAAUACAUCAAAACUUAAUUUUUGAUUAGUAAUAUACAUUGCUAAGAACAACUUUAUUCGGACAACUUUAAAGGCGAUUUUCUCAUUAUUUACAUUUUCAAAUAGUUGUAUUUCGGCCAAAUAUUGUCCGAUCCUAUCAAACCAUACAUCAAUGGAAAGAUGAUUUACUCAGCUUUCAGAUAAUGUAUAAAUCUCUCUUUUUUUUUUUUAAUUGACCCUUAUGACUGGUUUUGUGGUCUAGGGUCACAUUUAUAUUAUUUAUAUUAUUAUAUUAAAUGAUGUUUGUUAUUUAUUUAUAUUAUAUAUUAUUCGAUUUUGUUUUUAUAUUUUUAGUUUUCAUUUUAACUUUAGCUUACGUUUUAAAAAAUAAUAAUAAUCAUAAAUAAAUAAUCAUUUAAAAAUUUGAAAUGUCUCUUC
ensembl:lncRNA